rnacentral:lncRNA from 10 species
CGUUUGCAAACAAACCAAAGAGGAGCAGAAAGUUUUCAGACUCAGAGGCGACAUCCCAACAGCUUGGCUUGAAGGAGUACUUUAGGACUCAGAACAACAGGAUGAAGACAGCAGCUAAAAUAGAACACACCAGCAGAGACGUUCAGCUCCUUGAGCUGUGCUUCCGAAGCUCAAGCAUGGCAGAGUGGCCUUGUUAAAUCAGAGUUCAGGGUGCCACCCUGACAGUUUCUGAUUCCGUAGGUGCCCAGUAGGGACCAAGAAUCCUUUUUUUUUUUCCUUUUUCUUUUUAAUAGAGUCAGGGUCUUGCUAUGUUGCCCACAUGGGUCUCAAAUUCAAGCGAUCCUCCCACCUCGACCUCCCAAAGCACUGGAAUUCCAGGCAUAAGCCACCGUGCCUGGCCAAGAACGUUUUUUUUUUUAACAAGUUUCUAAAUGAUGCUGGUCUAUUGGUCCUGGGACCACACUUUGAAAUUGGUGGGAUAGGAGGCUGGGAUCUUUAUCCAUUCACUCAACUCCCAUUCCCCAUGGUUGAAAGUUUCCCUGGGGCAUCCCUGGGAGGCCUGGGGGCUGACAAGAUUCAAACGUUUUGGUGAAAAGCCCCAAGACAGUGAAGUGGGGUGUGCUUGAAGUGGGGCACCGUCAUCACCCACCUACCCACCACAGAGGUGAGCUAAAAGGUUACCAGACCGGAGCCUCCAGCAAUCCAGGAGCACAAACAAGGAUGCCUUAAAACAAAACUUGUGUCAGGGUACCCUUCGCUGCCUCAGAGGAAAUCAGAAUGACCUGGUGGACAACUGUUCAUAAGGACAAGAGCCAGUAUCACUGCCUUUGAGUCCCAGCCUCCUCAAAUCCAUUUUCUGCCCUGCACCACCUCAUCAUAUCCCGGAUAUUGUUAGUGUCGUGUCAUUUCAUGACUCAGGAGCUGCGGGUGACUUUGGCUGCCCUGACAUUUGUUAAAUUGGCUCCUGGGUCCUGGUUUGCAAAUGUUGCCACUUUGAGAUCCGUAGAUGGUCAUCCCUGGCUCCCUUGGGGAGUGUCCUGGAAUCCACCAGCUCCAUCUGCUCGACAAGAGACUUGAGUUUGUUCUGUUACCUCUUUCAUCAUUAGCCAAAGCUCCGGGACUUGGUUAAAACUUUAGGCAAUUAAAAAGACUGACUUAUGGAGAUAGUAGUGUUUUCACUAUAUCGUCCCUGCUUGAAUUUAUGUUCUUGAAUUCCAUUAACCUGAAAUAUAUCAAAAUACCAAGAUGUUAUGAAGAAUGGGAACAAAUAUAGAAAAGUGAAAA